ensembl:misc_RNA Metazoa_SRP Metazoan signal recognition particle RNA
GCCAGGUGUGGUGGUGCAAGCCUGUAGUCCUAGCUACUCAGGAGGCUGAGGUGGGAGGAUUACUUGAGCCCAGGAGUUUGAGGCUGCAGUGAGCUAUGAUGGCACGCCACUGUACUCCAGCCUGGGUGACAGAGUGAGACCCCAUCUCAA